AUGAUUGUAGGUUCCAUUACCCUUAAAGUCUUGACCUUCUCUUUCCUUGGCUGCUCAGGUCAUAGGUGCUGCAAUCUAGAGACAAAAUAUUCCUUACACUGCCAGAUACUUGCAAACUAAGGGGAACGAGCUUCCCUCUGAAUGUUUAUGAAGGAGAGACCACUGUGAGGAUAGACAGUGAAGUGCAACUACAGCCCGCAAAUGAAAAUGAAUAAAAUUAAUCCAGCCCCUCAAGGCAGUCAUCUGUCUUAGAGCUAUUGGAAUCCUGGAUCAUUGUGGGAAAUGAAAAGAACUGGUUUUUAGCAAGGAGACCAAGAAACUCUACUCCCUAGGGGCUAGCAAUGAGAGAAAGGAAGCCUUGAGUCUUUGAGCACAGGGUGACAGUUUGGGUCCUAUGUGAGAUGAUCAAAUCCACAGCAACAGAGGAAAGGACAAAAGGAAAAGAUACUUCGAUGGAAUCAGCAGCCAUUGAUCCAAUGCCAACUCCAAGACUGGAACGUCGCAAUGAUAGUUCCAAGGCGGAAAUUUGACGUAAUUCUUUUCGACACAGUUUUACAGGUGUGACACCAUGAAGUCGUCCCACAUUUCCCACAACCUGAAUUUGGGAUGACAGUCGACUGAGAUUUUGUAAACUGAUUAUCAUCUGUUUCUGUUUUAUUCUCAUUACCUAACAUAUGCCCACUGGGGGGUGCUAAAGAACUAUGAAUUGGAGGUAAUUCUGGGAUAUCUUCCCAGAGCUUUUGAGGAUUUGGCUGUGUUCUUAAGCUGCUUGCUGAACUGUCCAUUUCUCUUUCUCUUCCACUUAAUUUCAUACUUUCAGGUCUGGAUGCCCAUUUUAAUUCUUCUGAAAGCAUGCCUCCUUCUGGCUUCAGGACUCCAUCUCCAGCCUUAUGAUCUAAAAAUAAUCCCCAAACCAAAAAAUUAGAUAUUAUUUCCUCAAAAUUAGGUGUUUUAAUCAAAACAUCUUAACAUAAAUACAUUAUUAUCACCCAAUAUGCAUAAUGUUGUUCAACUUUUUUGUUAAAUGACUUAUUUUAGAUG
ensembl:lncRNA novel transcript